rnacentral:rRNA from 1 species
GAUGAACGCUAGCGGCAGGCUUAAUACAUGCAAGUCGUGGGGCAGCAUGAGUAGCAAUACUUGAUGGCGACCGGCAAACGGGUGAGGAACACGUACACAACCUUCCUUCAAGCGGGGAAUAGCCCAGAGAAAUUUGGAUUAAUACCCCAUAAUAUAUUUGAUAAGGCAUCUUAUUAAUAUUAAAGCUUCGGCACUUGAUGAUGGGUGUGCGGCUGAUUAGAUAGUUGGCGGGGUAACGGCCCACCAAGUCUACGAUCAGUAGCUGAUGUGAGAGCAUGAUCAGCCACACGGGCACUGAGACACGGGCCCGACUCCUACGGGAGGCAGCAGUAAGGAAUAUUGGACAAUGGACGAAAGUCUGAUCCAGCCAUGCCGCGUGAAGGAUUAAGGUCCUCUGGAUUGUAAAUUUCUUUAUAUGGGACGAAAAAGGGCAUUACUUGUUCACUUGACGGUACCAUAUGAAUAAGCACCGGCUAACUCCGU